AAGGAUCUGCAUUAUUAGAGUAUCAGUAUUUUUAUGGAUAGUAACAUGAAUGUAUAUUCGCAACUCAUUUUAUAGCGAAAAUAGAAAAAUAUAGCAAAAGGAAAAAAAGGUCUUCAAUGAAAUUUGAAUAAUACAUGGUUCCUUCACACAUACCUAAUCCGUUUCCUAUGCCUCUUCUGAUAGCAAAAUUCACAGACUAUUAUUAUCUGCAAUCAUCUCAGCACUGAUAUGCGGACUCGCAUACAACUUAUCAUGUCACAUCUGACCUGCAUUGAUAUAUAAAAACCAAGACCAAAUAUUUGUGGGGAAUUGUCGAGAUUUUCCUAUUACUUUUGUUGGUUCUUUCCUUUGUGUCACCCUUUCACACAAAUGUUAAUUUGUCACUAAAAAAUCUGGCUCUAGUUCCAUGGAUCAUUAAAAGGUUGGUUAAUGUUUACAAGUUGGCCAAACAUGAUGCACUUUCUUAAUUUCAUCGUACUAAAUGCUUUGUCAGGACACCAACCAAAUUUUGGUUGAAGGUGUUGCAUCAAAAUGGGCUUUAUUCAUCAUCCGGAUAUUAAAUUCCACGUCUAAGUUCAUCAAAACACAAUAUCAUCAUCCUCCCAAUUUAUCGAAUUUAGAUAGUCUAUAAGGCUCAAUUAUCGGAUUUCAAAUCUAAGAGGUCAACGAGUCACAAUACCAUAAUUUCAAUAAAUUGAAUUUAGAAUCAUCUUUGCUCAAAUAUUAAUUUUUGCAUCCAUGGUCUUCAGGCACAAUAUUGUCAUCCCAAUUUAUCGAAUUUAGAAUCAUAUAGAUUCAAAUGUCAAAUUUGCAUCCAAGAACAUUGAUACACUAUGAUUCAAGGAAAACUUGCUAUUGUAAUACGUUAAGGGUCAUCGUGACAUGCACGUCAUUUCAAGUUAUGAAUAAAUAUUCAUGGUGAAAUUGCGUUUAGACCAUCAAUUUACAUCCAUUCUCACAUAUUAUGCCAAUUUAAUAUGUAUAUUGCAACACAUAUUUUGGGUCAAGAAUCCAUUUCGUUAUUAAAUGUAGGGUCAUCAAAAAAUACUAUCUCAAUUUCAAAAGAAUAAAAAUUCAUAUUGCAAGUCACAUUUUGAGUCAAGUGAUUAAAAUUAGAGGGUCAUUCAAACAUGCUAUACCAAUUUCAUAUGAAUAAAAAAUUCAUGUUGCAUUCUAUAUUUUGGGCCAAGACUCCAAUCUCGUGAUUAAAUUCCAUGUCUUCCAAUCAUACUAUCUCAAUUUCAUAUGAAUAAAAACUUCAUAUUGCAAGGCACAAUUUGGAUCAAGAAUUCAUUUCGUGAUUAAAUUUAGGGUCGUCUAAAAAUACCAUGUCAAUUUCAUAUGAAUAAAAAAUUCACAUUGCAAGCCACAUUUUGGAUCAAACAUUCAUCUCGUAAUAAAAUUUCAGGUCAUCCAAGCCACAUUUUGGAUCAACAAUCCAUUUCAUGACUAAAUUUAGGGUCAUUUUAAUUUCAUAUGAAUAAAAAAUUCAUAUUGCAAGCCACAUUUUAAAUCAAGCAUCCAUCUCAUAGUAAAAUUUUGGGUCAUUCAAUCAUGCUAUUCAAAUUCUAAAUUUCAUUUCAUGUGAAAAAAUUCAUAUUGUAAGUCACAUUUCGGAUCAAGAAUCCAUUUCAUGACUAAAUUUAGGGUCAUCUCAAUUUCAUAUGAAUAAAAAAUUCAUAUUGCAAGCCACAUUUUAGAUCAAGCAUUCAUCUCUUAAUAAAAUUUCGGGUCAUCCAAUCAU
rnacentral:lncRNA from 1 species